rnacentral:rRNA from 1 species
UACAGAGGUCUCAAGCGUUGUCCGGAUUUAUUGGGCGUAAAGAGCUCGUAGGCGGCUUAGCAAGUCGGGUGUGAAACCUCCAGGCUCAACCUGGAGACGCCACUCGAUACUGCUAUGGCUUGAGUUCGGUAGGGGACCAUGGAAUUCCUGGUGUAGCGGUGAAAUGCGCAGAUAUCAGGAGGAACACCGAUGGCGAAGGCAGUGGUCUGGGCCGGAUACUGACGCUGAGGAGCGAAAGCGUGGGGAGCGAACAGG